rnacentral:rRNA from 1 species
UCCGUAGGCGGUGCGGCAAGUCGGAAGUGAAAUCUCUAGGGCUUAACUCAGAGGCUGCUUCCGAAACUGCCGUGCUCGAGUGUGAGAGAGGCGAGUGGAAUUACGGGUGUAGCGGUGAAAUGCGUAGAUAUCCGUAGGAACAUCCGAGGCGAAAGCGGCUCGCUGGAUCACAACUGACGCUGAGGGACGAAAGCUAGGGGAGCAAACAGGAUUAGAUACCCUGGUAGUCCUAGCCCUAAACCAUCAGGACUUGGGGUUUGCCCUGUACGGGGCAAGUCCCGGAGCUAACGCGUUAAGUCCUGCGCCUGGGGAGUACGGUCGCAAGGCUGAA